ensembl:lncRNA
AAAGAACAUAGCCAUUGGUUUCAAAGAACUUAUAGUGUAGGCAGAAGACAAGGCACAUAUUCUCUCUCCCUCCCUCCUCCCACUCUCUCUCUCUCUCUCUCUUUCUCCCUCUUUCCUUCUCUCCUCUGCUCUCCCCCUCUCUUUCUCUCUCUCCCUCUUUCCUUCUAUCUCUCCUCUGCUCUCUCUCCCUCUCUCUCUCCCCCUCUCUCUCUUUCUCUCUCUCCCUCUCCUUCUCUCUCUCUCUCUCUCUCUCUCUCUCUCUCUCUCUCUCUCUCUCUCUCUCUCUCUCUCUCUCUCUCUCUCUCUCCCCCCUGUCUCUGUCUCUCCUCUUUCCUUCUAUCUCUCCUCUGUUCUCUCUCUCUCUCCCUCUCCCCCCUCCUCUCUCUCUCCCCUCCCCCAGGAGAAAACUACCAAAUAGUAGGAGGCAGGAGCUGUAGCACAGACCUAAAUCCAAACUAGAACAAACCAGGCGUAACAAAGCACACCUAUCAGAAGUCACCAAUACUGGCUAAACUAGAGAAACUCAGGUCAGCUGGCAUCCCAUUCCUUGGUGAUCCCCAAUAACAACGCCCACUCCCUCAUGCUUGCAUGACCCAUUUCUCAAAGCACAAGAACAAAAGCUUGGAAGCCUCAAAUCUCUGGCAUCCUCUCAAGCGCAGCCCAGGUGCCUCCUUGCCCUCGGGGCCUUUCAUGGUCCCUCCAGUUGGCGCUGUCUCUCCCUUGAAAUUAUUUCGUAUGCACUUUGUCAGCACAGAAGAGGAUGCUCUCCCCCUACCUUGAGCACAGAGAAUUCUUUUGCCUUCAUAUCACCAGGAGCCACUACUUUACCUUGCAGUUUAAUUGAACAAGCAUUUUUAUGGGCUCACUUUGUGCCAGGAGCAGAAGACACAAAGACUCAAUAGGUUCUUAAGUCUUUGAAUACUUCUGUGAGGUGGGUAGUACAAGGAUGACCAUCCCAUUUUAGAGAUGAAGAAACCGAGGCUCAAGGAGGGAGUGAUUUUUGUCAAGGUCACAGAUCUAGAAAGCAACAGGGCCAAGACUUGGAGAAAGAUCUGACCUCAGUUCCAGCCCUCUCUCAGCUUUCCCAAAAGGUCUCUCAAAGAAGGCCUGGCUACACGUAUGAUUCAAAAGAAGACCUGAGGCAGCUCCACCUGUGGGCUUUCUAAGGGACCUUCCUCACAUCCCCACUUUCUUCAUUCUCCCUUACACUGAUCACAAGCCCACAGGGUGCCCACACAGGGCCCCCGACCCUCAUUCCAGGAAAGAUUUCAUAGUGGGUUGGCAUAUUGAUGCUAGACAGCCUUUAAGACAUUAUUGCAAUUCCAGGGGGUUCUACGAGUCAUUCCCAUUAAUAAUUCACAAUGCGCCAUCCAUUAAAAGUGCUUUGGGGAUGCCGAAUUCUUGAUUUAUAGUUUUCCAGGAGCUUUGCUUACUAAGUGGUUCAUAGGAUGAAAUAUGUGUCACUUUGGCAGUGAUGAGAAAAGCUUGGUCAGUGCUUUCCAGGCUAGUUCAGGCUAGAAGGAGCCUGAAAGAUCACCUAGACCAACUCUCCAAUUUUACAGAUGAGGAAACUGAGGCCUAGAGAAGGGCAGCUUGCCUAGGUUAUCCUCUUUCCAUUACAGAGUGGAAUGACUUGCCCAAAGGUACUUUAUUUUUUGAAUUUAAAAAUUUAUUUAAUUAAUUAAUUUAGAAUAUUUUUCCAUGGUUACAUGAUUCAUGUUCUUCCCCUCCCAUCCUCCCACCCCCCUCCUGUAGCCAACGAGCAAUUCCACUCAGUUUUACAUGUGUCAUUGAUCAAGAUCCAUUUCCAUAUUGUUGAUAUUUGCACUAGGGUGAUCAUUUGGAGUCUAUAUCCCCAAUCAUAUUGCCAUCAACCCUUGUGAUCAAGCAGUUGCUUUUCUUCUGUGUUUCUACUCCCACAGUUCUUCCUCUGGAUGUGAUUAGCAUCUUUCUCUUAAGUCCCUCAGAAUUUUCCUGGGUCAUUGCAUUGCUGCUAGUAGAGAAGUCUAUCACAUUCAAUUGUACCACAGUGUACCAGUCUCUGUGUACAAUGUUCUCCUGGUUCUGUUCCUUUCACUCUGUAUCAAUUACAGGAGGUCCUUCCAGUUCACAUGGAAUCCCUCCAGUUUAUUAUUCCUUUAAGCACAAUAGUAUUUGUGAUUGAGAGAAAUAGGAAAGGACAGAAGAAAAGAGAUGAAAUGCAAAGAAGAUGAGCUCAGGAAGAACUGAUGGAAAUCUCCAAACCCAGCGUGGGAAGGGAGAAUUCCAUUGGAAGGCUCAAAAGGAGGAGCAGUUAGCCAGAACUGUGGUCUGGUCUGGUCACUUCACCACUUGACUUCUUUUCUUUCUGGCCAACCCCUCUGAAGGAGGAAGGCUGAAGAAGUGCUUGGCUUUUACCCUCUUUUACUUGGGUGAACUGAAAAGAGCCUUGCCCAAUGAAGACUCCAGCUGAUAUAUAACUGUUUUUCCCACAGGGGAAGUCAACCUUAUUUCUUUGAAGAGACUGAAUUAAAGCCUUCAACCAGAAAUAGGGGUUAUAGCUAGGGGAAUUCCUCUCCCUCUCUCCUUUUAUUUCCUUAUUCCCCUUUCCCAAAAGAAAAUAAAUUAGACUUUCAACUAUGAGAAACCA